rnacentral:rRNA from 1 species
CUCCCCGUGAAGAAGCGAGGAUAAAAUUAUAAGACGAGAAGACCCUAUGGAGCUUUAAACAAUAUAGCAUCUGCCCCCGACAUAAAAAUUUCUGAAUCUUAAACCCGUUAGGCAGUAUAACUAUAAGUUUUUGGUUGGGGUGACCACGGAGCAUAAAACAACCUCCACGCUGAAAGAAUCUUUUUUAAGCUAAGAAUUACCUAUCUAAGCAUCAAUUUAUUGACACCCAUUGACCCAAUAUAUUUGAACAACGAACCAAGUUACCCUAGGGAUAACAGCGCAAUCCACUUCAAGAGCCCCUAUCGACAAGUGGGUUUACGACCUCGAUGUUGGAUCAGGGUUUCCCAGUGGUGCAGCCGCUACUAAAGGUUCGUUUGUUCAACGAUUAAAACCCUACG